rnacentral:rRNA from 1 species
UACGUAGGUCGCAAGCGUUAUCCGGAAUUAUUGGGCGUAAAGCGCUCGUAGGCGGUUUGUCGCGUCUGCCGUGAAAGUCCGGGGCUCAACUCCGGAUCUGCGGUGGGUACGGGCAGACUAGAGUGAUGUAGGGGAGACUGGAAUUCCUGGUGUAGCGGUGAAAUGCGCAGAUAUCAGGAGGAACACCGAUGGCGAAGGCAGGUCUCUGGGCAUUAACUGACGCUGAGGAGCGAAAGCAUGGGGAGCGAACAGG